UACGGAGGGUGCAAGCGUUAAUCGGAAUUACUGGGCGUAAAGCGCGCGUAGGCGGCUGGAUAAGUCGAUUGUGAAAGCCUUGGGCUCAACCUGAGAAUUGCAGUCGAGACUGUUCGGCUAGAGUGUGGGAGAGGGUGGUGGAAUUCCCGGUGUAGCGGUGAAAUGCGUAGAUAUCGGGAGGAACAUCAGUGGCGAAGGCGGCUAUCUGGCCCGUAAUUGACGCUGAGGCGCGAAAGCGUGGGGAGCAAACAGG
rnacentral:rRNA from 1 species